CUACGGGUCGUUCCAGUCGCGAAUCAUUUACAAUGCACGAAAGUGUGAUAAUGCGAGCCAAAGUGUUUUUCGUAUAGAAAAACUUUUUCUUUCUGUAAAAAUGUAGGAGAAUAAGGACUGGGAAAGACCGGUGCCAGCCGCCGCGGUAAUACCGGCAGUUCAAGUCGCAUCCCUUUUUAUUGGGUCUAAAACAUCCGUAGCUUGUUUAUUAAGUCUCUUGUGAAAUCCCACGUCUCAAGCGUGGGGCUUGCAGGGGAUACUGGUAGACUAGAGAUCGGUAGACGUAAGGAGUACGCCGGAGGUAGUGGUAAAAUACGUUAAUCUUCGGUGGACUAACAAUCAGCGAAGGCACCUUACGAGGACGAAUCUGACAGUGAGGGAUGAAGGCCAGGGGCGCAAAACGGAUUAGAUACCCGAGUAGUC
rnacentral:rRNA from 1 species